rnacentral:rRNA from 1 species
CACGGCCAGGGUGUGGAGCAUGUGGAUUAUUCGAAGCACGCGAAGAACCUUACCAGGUCUGAUCAUCCUCUGAACUUCCCAGAAAUGGGGUUUUGCCUUCGGGGGCAAAGUGACAGGUGGUGCAUGGUUGUCGUCAGCUCGUGUCGUGAGAUGCUUGGUUAAGUCCCGCAACGAGCGCACCCCUUGUUCUUAUUUGCCACCAUUUAGUUGGGGACUCUCAGGGGAGAGCGCGGGAGAAACACGAGAAAAAGGGGGAUGAAAGCAAAUUUGCUUGUGCCCUAUUAGAUGGGGUAAACACACGCUCGAAUGGAGGGGAUAAAGGGGGUUGCCAACCUGGGGGUGGGCUAAUCUCAGAAA